UACGGAGGAUGCGAGCGUUAUCCGGAUUUAUUGGGUUUAAAGGGAGCGUAGACGGUAAUGUAAGUCUGGAGUGAAAGGCGGGGGCCCAACCCCCGGACUGCUCUGGAAACUAUGUUACUAGAGUGCAGGAGAGGUAAGCGGAAUUCCUAGUGUAGCGGUGAAAUGCGUAGAUAUUAGGAGGAACACCAGUGGCGAAGGCGGCUUACUGGACUGUAACUGACGUUGAGGCUCGAAAGCGUGGGGAGCAAACAGG
rnacentral:rRNA from 1 species